rnacentral:rRNA from 1 species
GACGAACCGUGCGAACGUUGCUCGGAAUCACUGGGCGUAAAGGGUGCGUAGGCGGGUCUUUAAGUCAGGGGUGAAAUCCUGGAGCUCAACUCCAGAACUGCCUUUGAUACUGAAGAUCUUGAGUUCGGGAGAGGUGAGUGGAACUGCGAGUGUAGAGGUGAAAUUCGUAGAUAUUCGCAAGAACACCAGUGGCGAAGGCGGCUCACUGGCCCGAUACUGACGCUGAGGCACGAAAGCGUGGGGAGCAAACAGG